rnacentral:tRNA from 1 species
GCGGAUAUGGCGGAACUGGCAGACGCGGCAGACUUAGGAUCUGCUUCGCAAGAGUGGGGGUUCAAAUCCCUUUAUCCGCACCA